UCCCCGGUGGUCCAGUGGUUAGGAUUCAGCACUGUCACUGCUGCAGCCCAGGUUUAAUCCCUGGUCAGGGAA